AUAUCUCACUCUUGAAAUCUUUUAUUAGGCUUUAAGAUGUGGACUUUGGAGGUUUUUUGCAGGCUAUCACUGGUCAGCUCCUCUUAAAUGUAUUAGCGGAACUCUAUGCAGUACCGGCUUCAGUUUGAUAAUCCUAUCUAUGCUGUCGCUGUGAACUGUGCUGUUUGGCUUAUAAUUGUCUUUUUAUCAAAGACUACCAUUUACUUGGUAUAAAUUUUUAA
rnacentral:misc_RNA from 1 species